CUCCGGUGAUCCCGAGACGCAGAACCAGGCCUUGAAACACAACCGUACUCGUAAACCUGGGCGAGAGGAGAUUGAAAUAAGUUUUCCUUUUGGGGCACACAGUCCAGAAAAUGGAAAACAGCCAGCGAGGAGAUUCUGGGACAAUCCUUGAAAGAAAAAUACACCAAACAAAAACAAAAAAAACCUGUAUUCAACGUGCUAUAAAUCUUUGAGCUCCUGUGAUGCUUUCUUAAUAAAUAAAUAAAUGUCA